rnacentral:rRNA from 1 species
UACGGGGGGAGCAAGCGUUGUUCGGAUUUACUGGGCGUAAAGAGCUCGUAGGCUGUUCGAUAAGUCGGGUGUGAAACCUCCAGGCUCAACCUGGAGACGCCACCCGAUACUGUCAUGACUAGAGUCCGGUAGGGGAGCGUGGAAUUCCUGGUGUAGCGGUGAAAUGCGCAGAUAUCAGGAGGAACACCAGCGGCGAAGGCGGCGCUCUGGGCCGGUACUGACGCUGAGGAGCGAAAGCGUGGGUAGCAAACAGG